rnacentral:rRNA from 1 species
AUUGAACGCUGGCGGCAGGCCUAACACAUGCAAGUCGAACGGUAACAGGAAGAAGCUUGCUUCUUUGCUGACGAGUGGCGGACGGGUGAGUAAUGUCUGGGAAACUGCCUGAUGGAGGGGGAUAACUACUGAAACGGUAGCUAAUACCGCAUAACGUCGCAAGACCAAAGAGGGGGACCUUCGGGCCGCUUGCCAUGGGAUGUGCCCAGGUGGGAUUAGCUAGUAGGUGGGGUAACGGCUCACCUAGGCGACGAUCCCUAGCUGGUCUGAGAGGAUGACCGGCCGCACUGGAACUGAGACACGGUCCAGACUCCUACGGGAGGCAGCAGUGGGGAAUAUUGGACAAUAGGCGGAAGCCUGGUGCAGCCAUGCCGCGUGUAUGAAGACGGCCUUCGGGUUGUAAAGUACGUUUAGCGGGGAGGAAGGGAGUAAAGUUAAUACCUUGGCUCAUUGACGGUACCCGCAGAAGAAGCACCGGCUAACUCCGUG